rnacentral:lncRNA from 1 species
GGGGUGGGGGGGUGUCAUUUCCAUCUAGCUGCUGCUUCUGUGGUCUGAGAAUUGAGGGGCCAAUACUUGAACUUCAAACAAUUAAGUUGGAUACUCAAACUGGUGAAUGAAUGUGGCAUUUAUACACAAUGGAAUAUUACUCAGCAUUAAAAAAGAACAAAAGCGUGGCAUUUGAAGGUAAAUGGAUGGCGUUGGAGAAGAUAAUGCUAAGUGAAGUUAGACAAUCCCCAAAAAACAAAUGCCAAAUGCUUUCUUUGAUAUAAGGGGGUGACUCAUAGUUGGGUAGGGAGGGAGAGCAUGGGAGGAUUAGAUUAAUUCUAGAUAAGGAAGAGGUGUGGGAGGGAAAGGGAGGGGGAAGGGUAUUAGUAAGGAUGGUGGAAUGUGAUGGUCAUCAUUAUACAAAGCACAUGUGUGAAGACUUGAAUUGGGUGUCAACCUACCUUAUAUACAAACAGAGAUAUGAAAAAUUGUGGUAUAUAUGUGUAUUAAGAAUUGUAAUGCAAAAAGAAAAGUACAUGUAUAAUGGCAUAAACUGAUGUCAACAUACUUUAUAUACAGAGAUACGAAAAAUUGUGCUCUAUAUGUGUAAUAAGGAUUGUAAUGCAUUCCACUGUUGUCG